GACGAACGCUGGCGGCGUGCUUAACACAUGCAAGUCGAACGGUAAGGCCCCUUCGGGGGUACACGUGUGGCGAACGGGUGAGUAACACGUGAGCAACCUGCCCUUGACUCUGGAAUAACAGUUGGAAACAGCUGCUAAUACUGGAUAUUCAUCGUCUCCUUCCUGGGGGGUGGUGGAAAGCUCCGGCGGUCAGGGAUGGGCUCGCGGCCUAUCAGCUUGUUGGUGAGGUAAUGGCUCACCAAGGCUUCGACGGGUAGCCGGCCUGAGAGGGCGACCGGCCACACUGGGACUGAGAUACGGCCCAGACUCCUACGGGAGGCAGCAGUGGGGAAUAUUGCACAAUGGGCGCAAGCCUGAUGCAGCAACGCCGCGUGCGGGAUGACGGCCUUCGGGUUGUAAACCGCUUUCAGUAGGGACGAAGGGUGACUGACGGUACCUACAGAAGAAGGACCGGCUAACUACGUG
rnacentral:rRNA from 1 species